GUGUUUAAGGACUAAAUUUUUGGCAUCAAGAUAAUGGUGACUUAUUCUGAAUAUGACCAAAUUAUACUUGCAGUCUUUUUCAAGGCCAUAAAAAAUAAAUUGACUGCUAACAGGGUGUGAGAAUUCAGAGGUACUUAAUCAUGUGCUUUUAUUAUUAGGAAUUGUUCACUAAGUCUUGCUUGCUAAUCUCAAAAGAAAUAUCUAUCUAUACUUCUAGUCUGUUGUUGAAGCUUUUGUCAAAAACUUAUUAUCUCCUUUAAAAAUUUAAGGAAUACUUUGAAAAAAAGAAACUUAAAUCAAAAAUGAAGCUUCUGGAAGUAUCAUCUCCUAAAAGUUCAGCAGUCAGUUUAGAUCUUCUUAAUCUCUAUGUGGUUAACCAGAUAUCAACCAAAAAAGACAACACCGAGAAUGUGAGGAAGCCAGUCCAUGUGGAUAUCAUUGAAGAUGUAAAAAAACUUCCUGGGAGACACAACUUAGAGCUUCCCACGUCACCACUACAUACACAACAUAAGUCAAACCUAGAUGAUCUCCAGAACAGGGUUUUCAGUCCUCUAGCUGUACACAGCUUCCAGAAGAAAAGUUCAACACAAACCUAAUGGGCGACAUUUGGGAACAGACCUAUGAAGAGAAGCUGCAAAAGCAGGCUAGACCCUAUGAAUUCUGCCAGGAAAAAUCCAGUCAUAAUGACCAGUAACGAAUCAGAAAACUGUGAGGGAAUAAAAGCACCGCUAUUUGAUUUUGUGAAAGAAGCUGCAGAACUGAAAGCUCCCCAAGUUGGAAGUGGUUGUUCCUUUCUGGCACUGUUUGAAGAUGAGAGCCAACCAAUCUACAAUAAUCCUUCCACAAAGCAUUUUAAUCUUUUUGUUAACCAAAGCAGUACUGACAUUUUUUUCAUCCAUUCUGACGUUAGAAAUCAAAUGACUGACAGAAAUUAUCCUUACAACACUAGAAAGGCUUAUCCUGCAAUCAAUAAAAAAAAAAGUUCUGUAGACAGACACCUUGAAGGCAUUUUCACAACUCCAGAACUCGUUUUUCUUAAAAGUAACAAUGACUCAAGUGCAAGCUACAAGGAAACCAGUGGACUUCAUAAAACCAACCUGCAGAACUUUAAUGAGGGACAGCACUACUUCAUACCCUGUGAAAAGAAAGAAAAACAUGCAAACCUUGAAAAAAUUGAGACAUUUGCUUAUCACCAUGAUCAGCAGAUUAACUUAAAGGAGAAUGUGCAGAAUUAUUCAAGAAAAAAAAGGGAUGACGAGUCCAUGAAAGAAACAGCCUGGAGACAGAACCAGCUCUUUGGAUUUGAAGAGUUAUGGAGUCACCACUCAGCAGCCAGUCUUACAGUUACUCUCCAAGGCAGACCGAGAGCUAUUUGAGCUGUAGUCCUGACACAUGUGAAGAGGAAGACACAGCCAAAAAGACAGAAUAUCUGAAUGAACAGUCCUUGAAGACACAUGAUGCCAACCUCUCAGCAAGCAGAGAGGCCCCCAAGAGCUUCCACACCAGAACUGUGCCUCUCCAGCCCAGCAGUAAUUUGUCUAGAGAAGAAGCAAACAUUCUUCAGGAUAAAGGCUUAAUGUUUUGCACCAUAGAGGACAAAAAUAAAAACCACGCUGCUCCAUCCGAGGGCA
ensembl:lncRNA